CCAGUAAACGGCGGUGGUAACUAUAACCAUCCUAAGGUAGCGAAAUUCCUUGUCGGGUAAGUUCCGACCUGCACGAAUGGCGUAACGACUUCCCAACUGUCUCAACCGCGAACUCGGCGAAAUUGCAUUACGAGUAAAGAUGCUCGUUACGCGCAGCAGGACGGAAAGACCCCGUGACCUUUACUACAGCUUGGUAUUGGUGUUCGGUGUGGCUUGUGUAGGAUAGGUGGGAGACUGUGAAACCGUGACGCCAGUUACGGUGG
rnacentral:rRNA from 1 species